rnacentral:lncRNA from 1 species
CUAGCUAUCCAAUUUCAUCACAUCUUAUUAACUAAAGAGCCUUUUACUUGCGCCACACUCUCACCGCAAUGGCCGCCUCGACAAUGGCUCUCUCCUCUCCUGCUUUGACCGGAAAGGCCGUUAAGCUAUCCCCGGCGGCCUCCGAAGUAUUUGGAACCGGCCGAAUCACCAUGCGCAAAGCCUCCAAGCCCACCGGUCCAUCCGGCAGCCCAUGGUACGGAUCCGACCGAGUCAAGUACUUGGGUCCAUUCUCCGGUGAGCCUCCGAGC